CAGUCGCCGCGGUAAUACGUAGGUGGCAAGCGUUGUCCGGAAUUAUUGGGCGUAAAGGGCUCGCAGGCGGUUUCUUAAGUCUGAUGUGAAAGCCCCCGGCUCAACCGGGGAGGGUCAUUGGAAACUGGGAAACUUGAGUGCAGAAGAGGAAAGUGGAAUUCCAUGUGUAGCGGUGAAAUGCGCAGAGAUAUGGAGGAACACCAGUGGCGAAGGCGACUUUCUGGUCUGUAACUGACGCUGAUGUGCGAAAGCGUGGGGAUCAAACAGGAUUAGAUACCCCGGUAGUCCCUGUCUCUUAUAC
rnacentral:rRNA from 1 species